rfam:Cyphellophora europaea CBS 101466 unplaced genomic scaffold supercont1.2, whole genome shotgun sequence.
GCAAUCGGCCACAGGCUGUGUAAAAUAGGCCUUCCCGUCCGCUCAGGCAACUCAAACCACAGGCCGAUCAGUUAGUAGUUGAGUGGGUGACCAUCAGCGAAUCCUGGUUGUCGAUUGUU